CCUACGGGUGGCAGCAGUGAGGAAUAUUGGUCAAUGGGCGCGAGCCUGAACCAGCCAAGUCGCGUGAGGGAAGACGGUCCUAUGGAUUGUAAACCUCUCUUGUCGGGGAGCAAAAGACGCGACGAGUGGCGUUCCGAGAGUACCCGAAGAAAAAGCAUCGGCUAACUCCGUGCCAGCAGCCGCGGUAAUACGGAGGAUGCGAGCGUUAUCCGGAUUUAUUGGGUUUAAAGGGUGCGCAGGCGGACGAUCAAGUCAGCGGUAAAAUUGAGGGGCUCAACCUCUGCGAGCCGUUGAAACUGGUUUGCUUGAGUGGGUGAGAAGUAUGCGGAAUGCGUGGUGUAGCGGUGAAAUGCAUAGAUAUCACGCAGAACUCCGAUUGCGAAGGCAGCAUACCGGCGCUCAACUGACGCUCAUGCACGAAAGUGUGGGUAUCGAACAGGAUUAGAUACCCUAGUAGUC
rnacentral:rRNA from 1 species